GAUGAACGCUGGCGGCGUGCCUAAUACAUGCAAGUCGAGCGAACGGACGAGAAGCUUUCUUCUCUGCUGUUAGCGGCGGACGGGUGAGUAACACGUGGAUAACCUACCUAUAAGACUGGGAUAACUUCGGGAAACCGGAGCUAAUACCGGAUAAUAUUUUGAACCGCAUGGUUCAAAAGUGAAAGACGGUCUUGCUGUUACUUAUAGAUGGAUCCGCGCUGCAUUAGCUAGUUGGUAAGGUAACGGCUUACCAAGGCAACGAUGCAUAGCCGACCUGAGAGGGUGAUCGGCCACACUGGAACUGAGACACGGUCCAGACUCCUACGGGAGGCAGCAGUAGGGAAUCUUCCGCAAUGGGCGAAAGCCUGGCGGAGCAACGCCGCGUGAGUGAUGAAGGUCUUCGGAUCGUAAAACUCUGUUAUUAGGGAAGAACAUAUGUGUAAGUAACUGUGCACAUCUUGACGGUACCUAAUCAGAAAGCCACGGCUAACUACGUG
rnacentral:rRNA from 1 species